CUCAUGCCAUUGUACAGAACACAGGUGAGACCUCACUUGGAGUAUUGUACACAGUACUGGAGACCAUAUCUUCAGAAGGAUAUUGAUACCUUAGAGAGGGUUCAGAGAAGGGCUACUAAACUGGUUCAUGGAUUGCAGGAUAAAACUUACCAGGAAAGGUUAAAGGAUCUUAACGUAUAGCUUGGAGGAAAGACGAGACAGGGGGG